rnacentral:tRNA from 1 species
GAGGGUAUAGCUCAAGUGGUAGAGUGCAUGCUUAGCAUGCAUGAGGUCCUGGGUUCAAUCCCCAGUGCCUCCU